rnacentral:lncRNA from 1 species
UCAGGGGAAGACGUCUCGGAGAUGAAGGAAUCCAGAAUUGGAGGCGUAUCUGCACUGUCUUUAGUAUUUUCACCAUAUCUCCCUUAUCCGAUGUCAUAUUGAGCUGAUUGAAGUGGCCUAGGAAAGCUAAUUUAAAGUGCUACAAUUUUUUCUGAAAUAGAAAUUUUGAAAUUUUCGCGUUUUCCAAGCAAAAAAUGGCCCGCAAUCCAAGGCUGAAAAUCUGCAGAAUUGACGAGGCGAAUUCAGUAUGGAUUUUUCUUUCCUUGUGAAGAUNNNNN